GACGAACGCUGGCGGCGUGGAUUAGGCAUGCAAGUCGAACGGUAGGAUACCUUCGGGUAUCUGAGAGUGGCGAACGGGUGAGUAACACGUAGGUGAUCUACCCUCAAGAUUGGGACAACCCAGGGAAACUUGGGCUAAUACCGGAUGAAAGCAGCAGUGAUGUUGUUUGAAAGGUGGCGUAAGCUGCCGUUUGGGGAUGAGCCUGCGCUCUAUUAGUUAGUUGGCGGGGUAAGGGCCCACCAAGGCGAUGAUAGAUAGGCGGCCUUAACGGGUGGUCGCCCACACUGGGAUUGAGAUACGGCCCAGACUCCUACGGGAGGCAGCAGUCGAGAAUAGUCUACAAUGGCCGAAAGGCUGAUAGUGCGACGCCGCGUGAACGAAGAAGCCCUUCGGGGUGUAAAGUUCUUUUAUAUGUGAGCAGUGCUUUCUAUGUGAACAGCAUGGGGAGAGAGAUAUUAGCAUAUGAAUAAGCAACGGCUAACUCCGUG
rnacentral:rRNA from 1 species